GUUUCUGUAGUGUAGUGGUUAUCACGUUCGCUUAAGGUCCCUGGUUCGAAACCGGGCAGAAGCA